rnacentral:rRNA from 1 species
UACAGAGGUCUCAAGCGUUGUUCGGAUUCAUUGGGCGUAAAGGGUGCGUAGGCGGCUAGGCAAGUCUGGUGUGAAAUCCCGGGGCUCAACCCCGGAACUGCACUGGAUACUGCUUUGCUAGAGUACUGGAGAGGGAACUGGAAUUUACGGUGUAGCAGUGAAAUGCGUAGAUAUCGUAAGGAAGACCAGCGGCGAAGGCGAGUUCCUGGACAGUUACUGACGCUGAGGCACGAAGGCCAGGGGAGCAAACGGG